rnacentral:rRNA from 1 species
UACGAAGGGGGCUAGCGUUGUUCGGAAUCACUGGGCGUAAAGCGCACGUAGGCGGAUGUGUCAGUCAGGGGUGAAAUCCCGGAGCUCAACUCCGGAACUGCCUCUGAUACAGCACGUCUUGAGUUCGAGAGAGGUGGGUGGAAUUCCUAGUGUAGAGGUGAAAUUCGUAGAUAUUAGGAAGAACACCGGUGGCGAAGGCGGCCCACUGGCUCGAUACGUGACGCUGAGGUGCGAAAGCGUGGGGAGCGAACGAGG